rnacentral:rRNA from 1 species
AUUGAACGCUGGCGGCAUGCCUUACACAUGCAAGUCGAACGGCAGCACGGGAGCAAUCCUGGUGGCGAGUGGCGAACGGGUGAGUAAUAUAUCGGAACGUGCCCAGUCGUGGGGAUAACGUAGCGAAAGCUACGCUAAUACCGCAUACUAUCUAUGGAUGAAAGCGGGGGAUCGCAAGACCUCGCGCGAUUGGAGCGGCCGAUAUCAGAUUAGGUAGUUGGUGAGGUAAAGGCUCACCAAGCCGACGAUCUGUAGCUGGUCUGAGAGGACGACCAGCCACACUGGGACUGAGACACGGCCCAGACCUCCUACGGGAGGCAGCAGUGGGGAAUUUUGGACAAUGGGCGCAAGCCUGAUCCAGCAAUGCCGCGUGCAGGAU